rnacentral:tRNA from 1 species
GGAGGGUUCGCAUAGUUGGUCCAUUGCGGGGGUUUGCUAAAUCCCUGAGUCGUAAGACUCACGCAGGUUCGAAUCCUGUACCCUCCGCCA